CAGCCGCCGCGGGAAUACGUAGGUGGCAAGCGUUGUCCGGAAUUAUUGGGCGUAAAGGGCUCGCAGGCGGUUUCUUAAGUCUGAUGUGAAAGCCCCCGGCUCAACCGGGGAGGGUCAUUGGAAACUGGGAAACUUGAGUGCAGAAGAGGAGAGUGGAAUUCCACGUGUAGCGGUGAAAUGCGUAGAGAUGUGGAGGAAUACCAGUGGCGAAGGCGACUCUCUGGUCUGUAACUGACGCUGAGGAGCGAAAGCGUGGGGAGCGAACAGGAUUAGAUACCCGAGUAGUCCCUGUCUCUUAUAC
rnacentral:rRNA from 1 species